UAUCACAUAGAAGAAGCUCAGAAGUUUCCAGAAAUACUUGAAGAGGAGCCAGAAGCAGCGACGAUCAGCAGGUCUGGGAGGCAGAGUUCCUGUGAGGUCUGAUGAUUGCGGUUUCCUCCAGACUUGUCAGAGCAGACAUUGUGUUCUUGCUUCUCUAUUGCUCUCCAAUCUGCAACUACUUAAAAGUAAUCAGCCUUCAUUUCUGAGUGGUGGACUGCCCCCAACUCUAUAAAAAGUUCUGUAGGAAGUCAAGGUGUACAAAGAGAAUCUUCAGCUGGACAAAGACACAGUGUGUGAUUCCUGGGGCACAGACAGAAAGAGGGACUUUCCUGCAACGUUACGUUUAGGUGCAGGGAAACGUGGGAUCUCUAAAACAGGCACUGGACCUUUUGAAAGCUGAUUGGAACCAACAAUGCUGCAGAGCACAAAGAACCUCUCUGGGGCUCCUUGAAGAGCCAACAUCACAGGCAUGGAGGCAACAUAGGGACUUCAUCCUGCAGCAGCAGCAUCGAGACACCCAUUCGCUCAUGAGCACCCAAGGUAAGGACAGCAGCUGUAUGGGACAGCAUUUAACUCUAAUUGCCACAAGUUCCACUUUCACCUUUUUUUUCUGUGCUCAUUUUUGAGAUUGUUUCUCUCAGGACUGCGGCCACCCAUCCUAUCCUCAGCAGCACGAAAUGUGCUGCUGCUCGGGGGGGCCCUGUGGUACCCCAGGGAUGGGUGUUGGUAAGGGAAGUGCCUGCUGAAAUGGAAGUGCAGAGAGGGAGGUGAAAGGGCUGCUUGUCAGCACUGGUUGCCAGAGAAUUCUGCUUCUGCUCUGUGUGCUGUGCUCUGACCAAGUCUUUAAAUCCUUUCAUUAGGGAUUUAUGCUUUCUAUUAACUAAUAAAAUCUUUUUUUCCCCUCUUUUAAUUAGCUCUUCUCACUUCCUUUAUUCUUUCUCAACUCUAAUGUAUCUCUAAUCUUUUUCACCAUCUUCUUAUGCCUGUUUUUCAUCAAACGUAUCUUCUGUGUGACAAAUAUUCCGCUUGUUCCUUUCUUUCCCUUCUCUCCACCUUCUUGCCCAUGCAACAGACUGUACGUCCUCCCCCACGUUCUCAGUCUCUCUCUCCUUCCCCUCUGUGAUUUCCUUCUCUCUCUCAUGUUCCCCUUUCCUGCCACCUCCUGCACGCACCCCUUCCUGCUCCAUCCACUCUCUGUGCAUGCAGCAUGCAUUGCUGCCCUGCAGAGUUGGUUUUGCAUGCAGUGGUGGUGCCUGUCUGCUGACCUGUCUUCAUACACACACACAUUGCUUUCAUAUCUGCCCUUUUGCUCGUGUACAUAAUCAGAAUUUGCAUGUUUGCAGAUUUGGAGAUGCAUCCCAAAAUACCAGGCUUGCAUUGCCUCCCUCUAACUCUCAGACUCAUGCUGAGUGAUUCACAACAAAUAACCGCUGUCAUCCUGUCUCUGUUUCCUUCUGUCUCACCAAUAGAAUUUUCUAACACCUAUAACACACCAUAGCUUCCUUUCCACUCAGAAGUAUGGCCCUCUCUGACUUUGUUUUUUCUCUCUCUGCUUUUAAUAUCAUCCCACUCCUUCUGAGCCCUUACCCCAACCCUCCACCAGGCUUCUCUGUUUCUAUGCUGCAUUCACACUGGAAGGAAAUGCUGAAGCAGAUGGUCUUACUCUGCUGCCUCAGCAUCCCCCUGAGACCUCGUAAGGAAACCAGAGGAAGUACUGCAGUCUCUCAGCUCCUCUUUACUUUGCAGGAUAGGCAGGUGAGAGCAGAGUAACAGCUUUGUAAAGCUCUUAGAAUUUCUGGUCUGACAGUGAGGUCAUUUUUGUCCCAUUGAAUCCCAUGGGAUUUCAGAUCUUGGGGAGAGAGGCUCCCUGCUGUAAUGCUGUAGAGGCAGUAACUUCGUUCCCGGGAUCUGGAAAGAAUUCAUUUUGCAGCUACCAGAAGUUGCCAAGAUCAGGUUAAAAACUGCAUCCAGGGACAGUAUUUGCUAUGACUGCUUGUUUAAGUUUGUAAGCUUUGAACCAGACAUGAACAAAGUAGUAAUAUUUUUUUUUAUGAAGUUUUUUAGCUUCACCUUCUUAAGCAGGGCUACUGAGACUGAAGAUUUAUUUCUAGGGAUGUUCUGGUUUGGGCUUUUGGGGACUGAAUAAGGAUCACUUAUUAAACUCAGCUGAAUUAAUAGGAGAAUUAUGAUGUGCGAGAAUUCUCUUAGCAAUCUGUCCUGCUUUCUCAAAUUGUCUUUCUCCUUAUGAGUGAAAGAAGCUUAAACUGUAUGUUUGCAAUUAUAAUGCAUACUUAUUGAUUCAGAACUAGCAAACUGUGGCCUUUGAGCUGUGAGCAUUCUCUUCUGAAUACAGAAGCAAUUACAUGAAAAUAUCUUUGUCUUUUGCAUCUGCCGAAAAGUCUGCAAGCCUGGAACGACACAAUAGGAUAUGUAAUUUCAUUCAUAGAAGUUUAGUAUAACUGCACUCUGUAACAACUUGUGAUAUGAAAAGUUCUUGUGUUCUUUUUAGUCAUCCUGUAAAACAUGUAUGAUGAUCUUGUGUGUUUUUUUGUUUUUUUUUUUUCAGUAUCCUGUGCCCCCAAAACUAUUUGGUUGAUUUUUGUUGCUGUUUUGGUGGGAUUUUUUUGGUCAAGCCUUGAUAUCUCCCUGAAACUCAUUGGCCAAGACUACAUUUCUCUUUUUUUCUCUCUUCUCCUUUUCUCUUCCCCUCACCAUCCAUCAUUACGGUUUGCUAGGAGUUGAGUUAAAAAUGGACUUGGUCAAAACGGAAUGGUGACAUCUGCAAGGGGAUCUGGAGCCAGAUUUUAUUUCCUAGUUUCUUUAGUCAUGUACCUGAUGGAAGAGAAAUUUCGAAGGGAAAGAGUGCUGAAACCUUCAGCCACACCCAGCAAACCCUUCUACUGGGAGGGGUACCUGAGAAAUUCAGAACCACAGGUUCGACUCCCUCUUCUUAUGCAAAUAGUUACUUAUGGUGAGAGAGAAAUCUGAAUUAAGGGAGAAAAUAAACUUUCUACGGGAGAAGAGAAUUAUCUGAGUGCGUGUAUCUCUGAUAAAAUUAAGAGCAGCUCGAACCUUCACUAAAGGUACAUCCCAGACAACUGAGAUAUGCUGAAAAAAAGUCUGAAUGUUUUAUCUUGUUACUCGGUCAAACUUAAUGAGAUAAUGAGAUACAUGGCAUGAUUAUCACAGAGAAUGAAGCAUAUAGAGAUCUUUAUUCCUCCCAAUAUUAUGUCUAUAUUAUUGCAAGAGAACCAUCUACCCACUUCUUAUCAGCUGUCUCAACUCCCUUUGAUAUUGAAAUGCAUGUUUCACAAAUACAUGUUUCACUCAGAUGUGGCCAUUAAGGUUGUGUUAGUGAUGGUGUAUCGUGGCCUAUGGUAGCUUUCUUUGUAAGCAGCACCCAUAGCAAACUCAGCUUAAAAGAGGGUCCAGGCCUGAUAAAUUUCAGACUGAAGAAUAAAACCCUGCCCUCACCGUAGGCAGUGGACUUUUGUCACUGAUAUCAGAGAGGUUUUGCUUUGGCUGUUUAUCGCUGCUGUCUGUAGGAUUUGCAUUCUCAGAAUGCUGUCCACUUUGCUGAGAAUAGAGUAUUUGCAGUGAAUUUG